rfam:Desulfotomaculum sp. 46_296 MPI_scaffold_55, whole genome shotgun sequence.
GGGGUGGUAUUCCGGUUGGAAACCAUACCUGUUUGAAGCGGCCCGUAAAAUAAAAGACAACCAAAUCCGCUUGGAGCCUGGAUGGACCGAGACGGGGUG